AUGAGAGCUGAGCUCCGCUUGCACCGAAGGAAGCAAGUGUGCGUCAGGCAGCAGGCACUGAGGAGGCACUGUGUUGACGGCUGCCAUCUCUUGGCCACUAACCGGCUGUGUUACUUUGGGAGAGAAACCGAGGCAGCUCUAGAUCAGCGUUCUGCGGCUGUUUCUGGACCUGAUACCAGUUUGGACAGUGGCCGUGGCAAGCUGCAUCUCCCUGGCCGUGGAGGGGUCUGUGUUCUGUGACUGGCAGUGUCCCCCACUAAGAGCAGGCUCUGGCUUGAAGGCCCACUGAAACUUCUAGAACCCAGGCCCUCCCUUUCUCUGGAGGGUAAAUGUCCUAGGAGGACUUUCCUUGGUGGCAGAGAGUUUGCAUGGCAGCUGCCCCUCGGAGGCCUUUGCUCUGCCGUCUGGGCCUCUGCUGUGCUCGGAAGGACCUUGAGAUUCGCCGAGUCCACACUGAGGUGUCUCUCGCUGUCUUCCUAGUGUUGAUGUCAUCUGCUCCAUGGCUGCCUGUCCCCUGAUGGGAAGAGGGGGCAGCCCGCUCCCCCGAGAGUACCAGCUUACACUGAACACAGGUAAUUCUUGCUUUCUUCUCAGAACCACAGCCCUGAGUUUCAUUUGUACCAUUUCUU
rnacentral:lncRNA from 1 species